rnacentral:tRNA from 1 species
CAGAGAGUAGUUUAUAUUAAAAAUUCUGGUUUUGGGGACCAGGGAUGAAGUUAUUUUCCUCUUUGA